GUGAGGAAUAUUGGUCAAUGGGCGGGAGCCUGAACCAGCCAAGUAGCGUGAGGGAUGACUGCCCUAUGGGUUGUAAACCUCUUUUGCAGGGGGGUAAAGUGGUUCACGUGUGGACCAUUGCAAGUACCCUGCGAAUAAGGAUCGGCUAACUCCGUGCCAGCAGCCGCGGUAAUACGGAGGAUCCGAGCGUUAUCCGGAUUUAUUGGGUUUAAAGGGAGCGUAGGCGGGGGUUUAAGUCAACUGUGAAAUGCCGUGGCCCAACCAUGGAACUGCAGUUGAAACUGGACCUCUUGAGAGUACAUAAGGAAGGCGGAAUUCGUGGUGUAGCGGUGAAAUGCAUAGAUAUCACGAAGAACUCCGAUUGCGAAGGCAGCUUUCCGGGGUACAUCUGACGCUGAAGCUCGAAAGUGCGGGAAUCAAACAGGAUUAGAAACCCCGGUAGUCC
rnacentral:rRNA from 1 species